AGAAGUACAUUCAUAACCUCAUCUACACUUUCUUUUAACAACUCAUACUUUUCUGACUGUCUUUUCAAUAUGGAUAUGAAUUUCUGUCUUCACAAUUUUUUACAGAGAGUUAUCACUCUUCCUAUCUUUUUGCAAGCACUCGUUUUAUUUGUUUCAUUUUUUCUUACAGUGUCUCUUUCCAUCCUCUUAUGAUUUGUCUAA
rnacentral:sRNA from 1 species